UGAAAAUCAAGUGUCUGAAAUCCAAGGGACUAAAAGCUCUGGAUCACCUGUCAUAGUCCUCAAUCCCAACUCCAGGACAAAUUGAAAGCAACUUACAGUUGAGUUUUAAGGAAUUGAACUGAGAUCUGAGCCUCUGACCACCAGAAAUAUGAUAGUCUGCAUUUUGAGUCCAGUCAAUUCAGGAAACUCUUCAUGAAGCUUUUUAACUUUGGAAUUCUUCAAUUUCUACACACAGUCUGUAGAUCUCCUUCACUACUCCUUCACUACCACCACCAACAACCUAGCUUGAGUGAAGAGUCAGAGUGACUACACAAUAAUUACAAAAC